ensembl:lncRNA
UUUCUUCCUAAGGUACUUGCUGUUUACCUGCCUGGGUCUAACAUCACUUAAAUAUACUUGCUGGUAGUAAAUUAGGUAUUUGAAUAGGAAGUAAAUGCACUCCGGAUGCUGAAACAUCUUGUUUCCAAGAGAAUGCCUGGAUGCUGCAGGAGGCAGCCGCUUACUGUCUUGGAAUGCAGGAGCUUAUGGAGAGCUAUUAGUUUCAGGAGUGACACCAAGUCACCUUCCUUCUGACCAGCUGUGCCCAGAGUACUUGAGGAACCAGGAAAGUGACUGUGGCCUCAUAUACACUUGUUACAAUCAAAACUCAGCAAUUGUGUUGUCAAAAUCUUCAGAUUCUGGAUUUCUGAACUCCCUUCUAAGCUUUCUUUUCUAAGGAAGAACAAAAGCAAGCUGAGAAAGAACCACGUAUUUCGAGGUAAUGGAAUAUCCAGUCGUGAUCUUACCAUUUGCAGCAGGGUAAACUGCAAGUACUCA